rnacentral:rRNA from 1 species
AUGGCGUCCGCCUGCGCGCUCACCACCAUAGCCAUCCUCGCCGCGAUCCUCUUCUACGUCCUCCUGCUGCUCAGCCGCACCAUGGAGCUGCGCUUCGCGGCCAGCUAUGCCAUGGUCGACUGCGCACCGCCCCCUUCCUCGGACGACGGCGCCGCUGCCUUCCGCGGCACCCUCCUGCCGCUCCUGGCCGCGCUGCCCGCAGCCGCCGCGCCGACGGGGUUCGCGUCCCUGCAGUCCGGCGGCGGCGCGUUCGCCCGCGGCCUCUGCCUGGGCGAUCCCGCGCCGCAAGACUGCCUGGCGUGCCUCGCCGCGGCCGCCAAGAAGCUCGCCGGCUGCGGCGCUAGCAGGCGCGCCGGCGUCUGGAGGAGCGAGGGCUGCUUCCUGGCCUACGCCGACGGCAACACCUCCUCCGCGCACGAGGACGCGUUCCGCGACGUCAUCUCCUUCGGCGAGGAGGUCUACCCCGCCGUCAUCUCCGUCGACGACGGCACGCUGCCCUCCUACCCCAACUGCUUCGACACGCGGGCGCUCGUCGCGCUCGCGCAGUCCCUGGCGGGGCGCGGCGCGGCCAACUGCUCGGGGGCGCGCGUCGUCACCGACGCGGCGGCGCUCUCGAGCAACGCCACCGGGAAGAACGCGGUGAAGCUGCGGGCGCAGUGCGCGAGGGACCGCGCGGCGGCGGCGGAGUGCGCCCGGUGCCUGGGGGACUCGGCGCGGGAGGUGCGGGCGUGCGGCUGGGGCCUCGACGGCGAGCACGAGCGCGUGGCCGACGUGCUCGGCUACAACUGCUUCCUGCGGAUCGAGACCUCCGUCCCACCACGGCCCGUGGCGAAAUAUGUCAAGCAACCUGUGGUUUUGGCCCUGUGCGCCGCCAUACUGCUCGUGCUGGUUGUAACAGCGGUGAUCGCGUGCGUGAGAAAGAAGAGGGGCACCGGGAAUGUGGCAGCAGCAGCAGCAUCAGCAGGUCAGCAAACGAACGCUUCUCCUGCUGCAAACUGA